GAAGGCUAACGGGGCUUCGGUCAAGCGUGCAGAUAUGUAUCUAAUAGUAUAUUCUAGGAAAGAUGGGGCUGCUGUUACUCCCCAUGCGCAAGAGAACAUGGAUGGAAGAACUUUUGACUCAAGAGGGCAUGCGACUACAAGGAGAGCUUGGUAGUGGAGUCCUUUGGUCCAAAGAUGAUGCAUAUGCUCAGGUGUUUGGUCUAAAGUGCCCUGGACGUGUACGUUGGGUGGGAUUUGGAAUCACUCCAUUUGGAAGAAGUGCCAUAAACCUUUCACAGUUUACCUCGACUCCAUCGUCAUCAAGCAGAACGACCUAAAGGAUUUCGGAGUUGCAGACUUCCCUUAGGAAGCAACUAGCCGAAGUACAAGAACAACUCUCCCAAUCAGAAGCAAGGCAUCAAGAACAACUCUCCCAAGUAGAAGCAAGGCACCAACAGCAAAUGGCCGAAGUGAUGACUAGCAUGAGAGAAAUGUUCGCCCAACUUAGCCCUUGUAUGCGUGAUUUGGAUACGUCUCAGGGUGGCAAUGCUUGAUGGGGACUCUCCAUGGGAAUGAAACUAUGAAUCCUCAGGUAAUUGGCUGUAGCUACAGGCAUUGGACUGAGUAAUCAAGUACCAUGGUGCUUGCUAGAAACUGGCUGAUCAAGUAACUUGAUGCUAGCUGACAAUUUUUUGUGAUGUAAAAAUCCUUGAGGGAUAUGCAUUUUGAGCUAUAAAAUUCUUUUGUUGGGAACUUGUUUUGUUUAUGUAAUUAUUUGUUUAUGUAAAUUAUUUGGGCAAUGCAAUCUUUUGGCAAUGAACUUGUUUUGUUUGCUGGCAAUUGGUUGGGAACUGUUGAGUGUUGGCAAUUGUUUUGUUGGUUGCAAUUGGUUGCAUUUGU